rnacentral:rRNA from 1 species
RRKKCGCCCUUAGAGUUUGAUCCUGGCUCAGAACGAACGCUGGCGGCGUGCUUAACACAUGCAAGUCGAACGUGAUCCAGAGCUUGCUCUGGUGAAAGUGGCGCACGGGUGAGUAACGCGUGGAUAACCUGCCCUGGUAUCUGGGAUAACAUCUCGAAAGGGGUGCUAAUACCGGAUAAGCCUACGGGAUCUUCGGAUUCUGCAGGAAAAGGAGGCCUCUAUUUAUAAGCUUCCGUAUCAUGAUGGGUCCGCGUACCAUUAGCUAGUUGGUGGGGUAAUGGCCUACCAAGGCGACGAUGGUUAGCUGGUCUGAGAGGAUGAUCAGCCACACUGGAACUGAGACACGGUCCAGACUCCUACGGGAGGCAGCAGUGGGGAAUUUUGCGCAAUGGGGGAAACCCUGACGCAGCAACGCCGCGUGAGUGAUGAAGGCUUUCGGGUCGUAAAGCUCUGUCAGAGGGGAAGAAAUGAAACGUGCUAAUAUCACGUUUUCUUGACGGUACCCUCAAAGGAAGCACCGGCUAACUCCGUGCCAGCAGCCGCGGUAAUAC